rnacentral:rRNA from 1 species
CCCUUAGAUGUUCUGGACUGCACGCGCGCUACACUGAAGCUAUCAACACGUUUUCCCUCCCUGAGAAGGGCGGGUAACCUUUUGAAUCAGCUUCGUGGUAGGGAUCGGGGCUUGCAAUUGUUCCCCGUGAACCAGGAAUUCCUAGUAGACGCGAGUCAUAAGCUCGCAUCGAUUAAGUCCCUGCCCUUUGUACACACCGCCCGUCGCUACUACCGAUUGAACGUUUUAGUGAGGCAUUUGGACCGACGCAUCUCAGUUUAACCGCUGGUUUGUGUUGGAAAGACUUCCAAACUUGAGCGUUUAGAGGAAGUAAAAGUCGUAACA